GAUGAACGCUGGCGGCGUGCCCAAUACAUGCAAGUCGAGCGAAUGGAUUAAGAGCUUGCUCUUAUGAAGUUAGCGGCGGACGGGUGAGUAACACGUGGGUAACCUGCCCAUAAGACUGGGAUAACUCCGGGAAACCGGGGCUAAUACCGGAUAACAUUUUGAACCGCAUGGUUCGAAAUCGAAAGGCGGCUUCGGCUGUCACUUCUGGAUGGAUCCGCGUCGCAUUAGCUAGUUGGUGAGGUAACGGCUCACCAAGGCAACGAUGCGUAGCCGACCUGAGAGGGUGAUCGGCCACACUGGGACUGAGACACGGCCCAGACUCCUACGGGAGGCAGCAGUAGGGAAUCUUCCGCAAUGGACGAAAGUCUGACGGAGCAACGCCGCGUGAGUGAUGAAGGCUUUCGGGUCGUAAAACUCUGUUGUUAGGGAAGAACAAGUGCUAGUUGAAUAAGCUGGCACCUUGACGGUACCUAACCAGAAAGCCACGGCUAACUACGUGCCAGCAGCCGCGGUAA
rnacentral:rRNA from 1 species